UCUUGUCCUGCCUGUUGCUCAUUAUAGCCC
rnacentral:piRNA from 1 species